rnacentral:lncRNA from 1 species
UGAGAGAUGAGCAUAUUGAUAUAACUUCUAACCUGGAACAUAUCGAUAUUCUUGGUCUCAUAUGUUGAGUGUAAUUACUGAGUUCUUUGUUGAUUGAACUGAUUCACAUUUGACAAGGCAAUUACUGUGUUACCUUGUAGUUCUGUGCUCUGAUGCUCGGACUCUUCGAAAUAAUCGGAGUACCCUUGUCGGAUACGACACGUCACAACAUGGUUAUGAAUAUGAGAUAUGUGUCAGAUCCUCCAAAUUUUUAUCAGACACUUUGUUGUUUUUGCUUCUCUUUCUUUCUUUUUUCCCUCUUUUCCUUUACUUUUCCUUUUCUUCUCUCCUAUUUUUGCUUUCUAUAAAUCUAGUAUCGUCGCCGAUGGGGUGGAGAUGGACAGCAGUGCUAGGUUUUCCCUUCUUUUUCUUCUUCUUUCUUUUUUCUUUCCAUUUUCUUCUUUUUUCUUUCUUUUCCUCUCUGUAACGGUGAUUUGGGGUUUCGUUUGUAUAAAAUGAAAAUGGGUUCCAUAUCUAUUAGUGUACUGGGUCCGAAUUUUCCGGUUGGGGCCGAAGCAUUGUCACUCGAUGAUAAGUGCAAUAUUCACUGUCUAAUAGUUGUACGGACUUAUAUUUAUUAGANUCCGGUUGGGGCCGAAGCAUUGUCACUCGAUGAUAAGUGCAAUAUUCACUGUCUAAUAGUUGUACGGACUUAUAUUUAUUAGAAACAAAAGAAAAAAAGUUCUAUUAGAGAUAGUAUAUAGAUGGCAAAAUUACUUAAUUAUAUAAAUUUUUAUACACUAUUUACAAACUCUAUAAUUCUCUUUAUUUACUUAAAUUUCUUUGUGCUUAAAAGGAGUUACAUAAAUGCUGUUUCUAAUUUGUC